rnacentral:rRNA from 1 species
AUGACCCCAGGUCAGGCGG